GCCCACGACUCCCUCGUCUCUCCCAAAUCGCCGCCACCAAUGCCUCGUCUCCCUCCUCCGACCCGCCUCGUCCCCCUUGCGCCGACCCUCCCCCUCCCCUCCUCCCACCUCACAGCUCCGGGGGCUGCCGGGUCCGCCACAUCCCCACCCAACCAUCCCUCUCGCGUCCCAUCCCGAUCUCUUCAUGCGGCUCCUCGCCGUGCUACCUGCGGCGGCUGCAUCAGGUGAUUUCCGGCGAAUCCCGCCGGUGCCAAGCAUAGCCCGAUGUCCCUUUGCUCCGUGGAGCCCUCCCAUCCAGCUAGAUCGAGUGCUUGCUGCCACCAAAGCCCACCCGUGACCCAUCCCCCAUGGCUAGCGUUUGGGGCGUCAGAUCCGGUGUCGGUGGCCAUGUCGUCCUCGUCUCAUCCGACAUGCAGGGAGGAACGGCCAGUGAACAAUCUUGCUGGGGCUCGGGAUGAAGCAGCGACGAGCUUCCUCCUCCUCCCUCUUCAGCUGAGGUGUAGCAACGGCAGUUUGAAGCAGCGGCCGCGGGCAUCUUUGGCGGCAAGGCUGUCGAGUGAAGGAAGUGUCGGUGUGGCGAUUUGUGUUCUAUUCUCCAUCCUUUAAGCUCAUAACAGCAGAAAGAACUGUACAAUCGACUGUAUCACUAUUGUUUUAUUAAGAAAAAAACAUGUUCUGUACGCAUGUAUUGAUGAAUACUCCUCUUCACUCGAUUGUGUUGUAGGGAGUGAAAGCAUCCAGUUGGGGUGGUCUGCAGCUGUGGUUGCCUCAGGGAUAAAUUCAUUGAGCAAGAUGUAAAGUUGCCAAGAUAGUAACUAGGACACAUAGAAUGGGACGAAUAGAUUCUCUUCUUUUAUUAUAUAGGAACUUGAUGAAGCUUUACUUGUGUUGCGCUGUUCUAGAGAUGCAUGAGACACCUGUAACCUUUUUCCCUUGGCUUUGCAGCUGCACGCACCAACUUGAUGUUGGGGGACACCAUGGAAGGUGUACAAAAUUAGCAAUGGAUCUCUAGGCUGGUGAUGACCAUGUAAAUUUGUUUUAGUGGACUUGGGGCUGUAGGUUCAUUCAAAAGCAUGGUGAGCACCUGUAGGUUUGUCCAUUUCCUGUUGGAUGACUCAAACCAACUAGAGCUAAAUGUUUUUGUUCAGUUUCAGAUGUUUGGUUCAGUUUGCUAAUUGAAUGGAAAAGAGAAGAGAAGUAGCACAAUAGCGCUUAGGCUACUGUCCAUAUAAUGUUAUUGAGCCAUGUUGUUCUGCAGGCUAUGUCGUAUAUUGUGGAAUCUUUAUUAGUCAUCAAUGAUCACUAACACUCAUGCUAGUAUAUUUUCAGAAUCAUAACAGGGACGUAGUUCUUUCUAUAGUUCCAAGUUAUGAUCCUAAAUUUAAACUCGAUGGUGCUGAAAUUAAAAUGCAUUUUGGGCAGUGUAAUACAACACUUGCGAAAACUGAAGAUUUCGUACAGAGUCGCAAAAACUGCAAUCAUAUUGGUAAUGCAGAAAAAAUAUUGCAUGGCCUUCAACCUUUAUUCAAAAGAUAUAUGGAUGAUUAUAUGGUUGCGUAACAAGUAUAUUGCAAUGAUGAUGACGACGACGAUGACGACAACGAUGAUGAUAUUCUGGUUCAUGAUGCUGAUGCUGAUGGAUGCUUUCAAUUUUAGUUAAGUUGUGGGAUGUUCCUUUUGGACAAUGUUCCUCAGUUAGUUUUAGUUAAUUUGUAGGGACGUUGAUGGACAAUUUUAGUUUAGAUUUUCCUGUCAAGAAAAUAUUAGAUUAUGCAUCACAUUUGGAUGAUGUUCCUCUUGUAAUACCCAUUGUUGUAAUUCAAUAGUUUUAACUGAUAUAUGAUUUCUUCCUCUUGUGAA